CUACGUGCCAGCAGCCGCGGUAAUACGGAGGGUGCGAGCGUUAAUCGGAAUAACUGGGCGUAAAGGGCACGCAGGCGGUGACUUAAGUGAGGUGUGAAAUCCCCGGGCUCAACCUGGGAACUGCGUUCUGAACUGGGUGACUAGAGUGUGUCAGAGGGAGGUAGAAUUCCACGUGUAGCAGUGAAAUGCGUAGAGAUGUGGAGGAAUACCGAUGGCGAAGGCAGCCUCCUGGGAUAACACUGACGUUCAUGCUCGAAAGCGUGGGUAGCAAACAGGAUUAGAUACCCUGGUAGUCCACGCCCUAAACGAUGUCAAUUAGCUGUUGGGCAACUUGAUUGCUUAGUAGCGUAGCUAACGCGUGAAAUUGACCGCCUGGGGAGUACGGUCGCAAGAUUAAAACUCAAAGGAAUUGACGGGGACCCGCACAAGCGGUGGAUGAUGUGGAUUAAUUCGAUGCAACGCGAAGAACCUUACCUGGUCUUGACAU
rnacentral:rRNA from 1 species